GGACGCAUAGCUCAGCCGGUUAGAGCGCUGCCCUCACAUGGCAGAGGUCGGAGGUUCGAACCCUCCUGCGUCCA
rnacentral:tRNA from 1 species